AUAAUGGGUCAGCGACUUAUAUUCUGUAGCAAGGUUAACCGAAUAGGGGAGCCGAAGGGAAACCGAGUCUUAACUGGGCGUUAAGUUGCAGGGUAUAGACCCGAAACCCGGUGAUCUAGCCAUGGGCAGGUUGAAGGUUGGGUAACACUAACUGGAGGACCGAACCGACUAAUGUUGAAAAAUUAGCGGAUGACUUGUGGCUGGGGGUGAAAGGCCAAUCAAACCGGGAGAUAGCUGGUUCUCCCCGAAAGCUAUUUAGGUAGCGCCUCGUGAAUUCAUCUCCGGGGGUAGAGCACUGUUUCGGCAAGGGGGUCAUCCCGACUUACCAACCCGAUGCAAACUGCGAAUACCGGAGAAUGUUAUCACGGGAGACACACGGCGGGUGCUAACGUCCGUCGUGAAGAGGGAAACAACCCAGACCGCCAGCUAAGGUCCCAAAGUCAUGGUUAAGUGGGAAACGAUGUGGGAAGGCCCAGACAGCCAGGAUGUUGGCUUAGAAGCAGCCAUCAUUUAAAG
rnacentral:rRNA from 1 species